rnacentral:tRNA from 1 species
UGCUCGCGCGGAUGGCCAAGCUUCGCGUCGGGCUUGUCACGACCGCGCCGGCGGCGGUGCCCGUGCCGCCGCUGGCCGCGUGCCGCGCGGCGGGCGUGACC